UAAUGGCCAAAAUCGAGAAUUCGUCUGUCAAGAAUCUCGUUGUGGGUUAGAUUUAUUUGAUGUGGGUCACGUCAUCACGUGAAUCAGUGACUCAUGUCACGUUCAUUUUUAAGCAUUAAAUACUUAUACCAACUCAUUAUUGUUUUGAUUAACAUUAAUUAUUAUAUUACUGUACUUUAAGGCAACUUUAGCAAACAGUCGGACCAAGCUAACUCUGCAUAGCAUUUGAUUAAGGCUAAGAAAUUAUGACGUUUAUAAUGACACUGUCUCAGAUUGUUAUUUAGGUAGGUGCUUUAGGGUAUCAACCUUGGUGCACUUUACCUGAUUACAGAUCCUAGUAAGGUACAAUAGAGUGGCAUUCGAAGUAUAAAAAUUCAUUUGCAUGACAUUGCAUGACGUGCGAGUGUGAUACUAUAGGUAGAGGCAAGGAACAGAAACUUCUUAGGCAGAAUUGUUGCAAAAGUUGUCAGCCAUAAAUAAUAGUUCAAAAUCUCUCCAGAAUAGCGCUAGAGUAACUCAGAACCUAGUCGUUAUUGACGCAGUGAAGUGCGCUGUCUAUAUGAUUAGAUUUUUCUCAGAUAUUCUAGGUAUUGUAGCGCCACCUAUUUAUGGUUUUUUGUCGGGCACUUUUUGAUAUAUGGAGAUUUUGUUCGUUGCCUCUUCCUUCCAUAGUGAUACGCUGCAAGUAACGUCGAAUCAAGAUCAGAUCCGUCCGAAUGCCGCUCCAUCAGUGCUACGAGGAUCUGGAAUCUGGUAAAGAGCACCAAGGUUGCUUCGCUCCUGCAAUGCACGGAUAUAAAUAGGGAAGUGAACGAGUUAAACGUUUGUGGAAGUCUGACGUGCGUCAUUCAGGUAUCAGGAGGCGUAUUUAGAUUGGUAAAAUAUGAUGCUUGUCUUUGAUAAAUGGUUUGCUAAAAAAUUGCAUUCCAUGUGAUGAAUUUAACAGAAACUGAUCGCGGCCUACUUAUUAUUAUGCGAGAUUCUUAUUAUUAUAAGGCUUAUCUAAGCGAGAAUGAUACACGCUGUUUUUACAUACGAGGGUUGAUUGAAAAAUUCGCGGCCUGGCCAAUUAAAAAAAAACUUUUUUCUUUUUUCUGCCGCCAUUUUGAACUGUCAUUAUUCAACUGUCUUCCCGCAAAAUUUCAAUUGGCGUCUUAAUAUUUAAAAGCAAUUUUACGACAUAUUUAAAGUUACGUGUCGUGAAAAUGGAGAAAUUAGAGCAGCGUGCUGUGAUUAAAUACCUGCAUAAAAAUGGAUUGACACCGAAGCAAAAUUAUGAUGAUAUGCAAAGUACAUUAGGGCAAUCCUGUCCAUCAUAUACAAUGGUGAAAAAAUGGGCAGCUAAAAUUCAAGCGUGGACGAGAUAGUAUCGCAGAUGACCCUCGUCCCGGGAGGCCAACAACGGUGACUAACACGGACAAUGUGACAAUUAUAUGCGAAAUGAUAAUGAAAGACCGGCGAUUAAAGGUGCGGGAAAUAGCUGACAUCGUAGGCAUCUCUUAUGAAAGAACUCAAAAUAUUAUAGUCAACGAAUUAGAUUUUCCCAAGGUGUCGGCGAGAUGGGUCCCGAGGCUUCUUUCAGUGGAACAAAAAAUCGCUCGCCGUACUAAUUCACGUGAAUGUCUAGACCUGUAUGAAGCCGAUACUCAAGACUUUUUGGACAGAUUUGUAACUAUGGACGAGACGUGGGUCCACCACUAUACACCAGAGACCAAACAGCAAUCGAAGCAGUGGGUUCGACCUGGAUCUCCGCCUUCCAAAAAAGCCAAAGCAAUUUUGUCGGCCAAUAAAGUCAUGGCAUCUGUUUUCUGGGAUGCAAAGGGAAUAAUAAUGGUUGACUAUCUCCACAUAGGUAAAACUAUAAAUUCCGACUAUUAUUGCGAGUUAUUACGUAGAUUACGCGAGGGUCUGAAGAUAAAAAGACCUGGAAUGUUGACAAAGAAUGUUAUCUUCUACCAGGACAAUGCACGUAUUCACACGUCACUAAAAUCGAUGGCGGAGAUUGCCAAAUGUGGGUUUGAAUUAUUGCCCCACCUACCCUAUUCACCCGAUUUAGCAACAUCGGACUUUCAUCUGUUCCCCAAUUUAAAAAAAACAUAUGGGUGGUAUGAAAUUUUCAAGCAACGCCGAGGUCCAAGCUGAGGUGGAUGCCUAUUUUGAAGGUCUUGAGGAAAGCUUCUUCAAAAGUGGUGUAAUGGCUCUGGAAUCCAGAUGGAACAAGUGCAUUCAACUCGAUGGGGACUAUGUAGAAAAAUAAAAAUAAAUUAAAAAACCUCUGUUUUGUUUUUAAUAUUCAGGCCGCGAAUUUUUCAAUCCACUCUCGUACCUAUAUCGACAUGUGUUUUAACUAUAUAGCUCCACGCGUAACAACUCCAACAAUAGUUAUAGUUAUUUGCUAUACAAGGGUGCAAAGUUGUUGUUUAACUGCUCGUGCUAAUAUUGAUACCCGAGCAAGCGAAAUAUUCCAAAAUUGAACCAGUACCGUAGCGAGUAGUUCCAGAAGUGGAAUCUUGAGCGUUGCGAGGGUUUCAAGGCACGAGGUUUAAAAAAACUUUGCCUCCGAGUCAAACAACAAUUUUCACCACACCAAAGCGAGGAAAAUUCUAAUUAUGAAAUACCAAAAAAUCAAAUCCAAAGUAGGGUAGUUCCACGAGACUGUAACGUCAGUUACCAAUUCUUUCGUGUGUUCUUACAUUAAUUAAGCAAAUUUAAGUAUCCAGAUAUCUACCUGUAGGAUACGCCAGACAUACAGACACUUAGAUUUUUAGGGGUCCGUAGCCAAAUGGCAAAAAACGGAACCCUUAUAGAUUCGUCAUAUCCGUCUGUCUGUCCGAUUAUGUCACAGCCACUUUUUUCCGAAACUAUAAGAGCUAUACUGUUCAAACUUGGUAAGUAGAUGUAUUCUAAGAACCGCAUUAAGAUGUUUAGUUGUUUACACAAAAAUAGAAAAAAAAACAAUAAAUUUUGGGGGUUCCCCAUACUUAGAACUGAAACUCAGAAAAUCUUUUUUCAUCAAACCCAUACGUGUGGGGUAUCUAUAGAUAGGUCUUUAAAAAUGAUAUUGAGAUUUCUAACAUAAUUUUUUUCUAAACUGAAUAGUUUGCGCGAGAGACAUUUCCAAAGUGCUAAAAUGUUGGUACAUGGGACCCCGUAACUUCUAAAACAACAAAAUGAAAAAUCUAAAAAAAAAAUAUAAUAUACAUUGCCAUGCAAACUUCCACCGAAAAUUGGUUUGAACGAGAUCUAGCAAGUAGUUUUUUUUAAUGUCAUAAAAUUAAAAAAAAAAAAACUUUUUUUUCAUCAAACCCAUACAUGUGGGGUAUCUACGGAUAGGUCUUCAAAAAUGAUAUUUAGGUUUCUAAUAUCAUUUUUUUCUAAACUGAAUAGUUUGCGCGAGAGACACUUCCAAAGUGAAAAAAUUGUGUCCCCCCCCCCCCUGUAACUUCUAAAAUAACAGAAUGAAAAAUCUAAAAAAAAAAUAUAAUAUACAUUACCAUGCAAACUUCCACCGGAAAUUGGUUUGAACGAGAUCUAGUAAGUAGUUUUUUUUAAUACUCCAAUAAAUAAAAAAUUUUUUUUUUUUUUCAUCACACCCAUGCGUGUGGGAUAUCUAUGGAUAGGUCUUCAAAAAUGAUAAUCCUCUUGAUUGUUCAAAAACUAAUGAGAAAGUUGCAUUUUAUCCACAUGUGGGGCAAAGUAAUCAGAUGCAAAUUUUGAGUCGUUUCCUUAUGUUAGCUGGUAGAAUUGACUUUUAAAUGAUGAUUUUGAAUGAUACAUUUUUUAUUACGUUCAGUUGGAUUUGAUUAGGUUUGAUUUUUUUGGUAUUUCAUAGUUAGUAUUUUCCUCGCGUUGGUGUGGUGAAAAAUUUUGUGUUUCACUCGGAGGCAAAAUUUGUUUAACCCUCGUGCCUUGAAACCCUCGCAACGCUCAAGAUUCCACUUCUCGAACCACUCUCUACGCUCGUGGUUCAAUUUUGGAAAAUAAUUUUGCUACCAUGUGACACAUACUGCUUUUCACAUCACCUGUUUAAUACAAAACAUAUAGCGUGUAAGCUUAGCUUAAGUUAUUUUUCUAUAUAGCAACAUAUUUUGUAGUUGCCCUAUAAUUUGCAUGUGGCAACUCUCUCUCUUCUUUCUCGAUCCGAACCGACGACACGUCCCGCGAUCACCUUUGUAAUUAUAUUUAAUUUAAAGUGAAUAAAUGUUCAUUCAAACUUAAUAUGCGCAUUUUGUAUUCAAAAUUAUUUAAGAUAAAAAUAUAGUACGCAAAAAAAAAUAGUGUCCUAGAUCAGAAAAAUGACACUCCUAGCAAGUAAGAAAAGCCCUUUUUCGAAUAGGUCAUAUUUUCAAAGAAACUUCACGUUUUGAUGACACUUAUCAUUGCAAAGUCCAUAGCUUGGUUCGACUCUAAGUAGGUAUAAGUACAAUUUUUGUUUCUGAAUACGGUCCCGGAAUGCGUGCGUUGAACUGAAGUUGAUUUACUGCUUACUUAUAUGCAUCUAUUACCUGGAUCAUUAAGAUUGCUAUAAUUUAUGAGGUAAUUACAGAACAUGUGGAUCUUUAUUCUCUGUGUACAAGUAAUGCACAAUGGAUAUUAUAAUUAUAGCGAGUAUUAUUCAUAGAAAUACUGACUACAAUUAUUUAUAACACAGGUCUCCAAACUAUGGCCCGAGCACUGGAUCCCGCCACUGGACAGCUUGCGCGCGCACCCCGUGGAUUCGGGGCUAAUGCAGCGUCCCCCACUCGGUGGGGUGGAGAACCGGGAUUACGACUCGAGAGUAGCCGCAAGAAACUCACGUCAUUCGCGAGUCGCUGGGCGGAGUGCCUGGGCGCGCGCGCCGCGGGCGCGGGCGAGGCUCGGCGGCGCCCCCCGCCCGUGAAGAUCAUCGCGCGCGCAUGCCUGCGCCGCCGACCCGCGGCUGCGCGCUGCGCGGACGCCCAGCGCCCUCGGAUCCCGCCGUCGCUCUCCGCACCGUAUUUAUAAACGAAAUUCCACACACUCGCGCGGUAUCCGCCACCGGAUACAACUUUUUACACGACUUUCGGCACUUACGUCGUACGGAGUACUGAAGAGGCGGGUCGGCGCGAUUGUCUGCCGCAGUCGUGACUCAACGCGGGACGUCGGACGCAAACUUUACCGUUUAAUAGAUUUUUAAAAUAUUGUUAGACGACAUACUUACUGAAAAAAUGCAUCAAAUUAAAUGACAUUUAUCAAGAAUAUUAUCAGACGGUCUCGGUGUUCAUUUUAUUCAUAAUUUUCAGGAAAUUGAGAGUUACAUGAGAAUAUUGUGGAUAUGGAUGUUGUAGGCGCUGCCCAUUGCCAUCAGCGAGAGUCUA